AGAAAACAGAGAUCAGAGCACCAACUGAAGCCAUCAAACUAGUUCUUGAGCACUGGAGGUUGGAGGAUUCCCAAACCAUGGCGGCUCGCAUCUAGGAAUGUCUCCUGCUGUUGGUCGAUCUUGUGCAGCAUAAAGCAGCACAUGGGUAUUUUGGCAAAGGGGUAUCUGGAAAAGCAUAGGUUUGGGGAUUCGGCCAAUUCAGCUUCCUUAAAAAGCCUCUUUUAGGGAAUAUGUAAGCUACAGUAAGGAUACUGUAUGAAGUUAAUAACUACGCUAUACUGGCUCAGAAGACAAACUGGAGAGCCACAGUAAACUAUUGUUAGCCUGACUGCACUCUACACUGCACAAAGGAUCUUUCCUACUGUUCACUGUCUUCCUUCAAAGUUGAAUGGGUCAAAAUUAUCCAGAAGGAAGCUAACAGAACUUGGCAACUACAAUGUUUCUCUGCACGUCUUGGCUACUACUGUGAAAAAGAAAUAAAGAAUGUUGUGUAAAUGCACAAAAGAGCAAUAUGUUAACUAAGCCGUCUCAAAAGACACACAUGGUCUAUUCCCAUCUUCAACAUUUUUGGCAUAUCCCUAGUCUCUGGUGUCCAUUGUUUUAUUAUUAAACUGC